GAUGAACGCUGGCGGCGUGCCUAAUACAUGCAAGUCGAGCGAACGGACGAGAAGCUUGCUUCUCUGAUGUUAGCGGCGGACGGGUGAGUAAAACGUGGAUAACCUACCUAUAAGACUGGGAUAACUUCGGGAAACCGGAGCUAAAACCGGAUGAUAUUUUGAACCGCAUGGUUCAAAAGUAAAAUCCGGUUUUGCUGUCACUUAUCGUUGGUUCCACGCUGCAUUAGCUAGUUGGUAAGGUAACGGCUUACCAAGGCAACGAUGCAUAGCCGACCUGAGAGGGUGAUCGGCCACACUGGAACUGAGACACGGUCCAGACUCCUACGGGAGGCAGCAGUAGGGAAUCUUCCGCAAUGGGCGAAAGCCUGACGGAGCAACGCCGCGUGAGUGAUGAAGGUCUUCGGAUCGUAAAACUCUGUUAUUAGGGAAGAACAUAUGUGUAAGUAACUGUGCACAUCUUGACGGUACCUAAUCAGAAAGCCACGGCUAACUACGUG
rnacentral:rRNA from 1 species